GACGAACGCUGGCGGCGUGCUUAACACAUGCAAGUCGAACGGAGCGAAUGAAAGCUUGCUUUUAUGAGCUUAGUGGCAAACGGGUGAGUAACACGUAGACAACCUGCCGACAGGAUGGGGACAACAUUCCGAAAGGAAUGCUAAUACCGAAUGAAGCGGAGGAGAGGCAUCUCUCUUCCGUGAAAGAUGGCCUCUAUAUAUAAGCUAUCACCUGUCGAUGGGUCUGCGUCUGAUUAGCUGGUAGGUGAGGUAACGGCUCACCUAGGCGACGAUCAGUAGCCGGUCUGAGAGGAUGAACGGCCACAUUGGGACUGAGACACGGUCCAGACUCCUACGGGAGGCAGCAGUGGGGAAUCUUCCGCAAUGGGCGCAAGCCUGACGGAGCAACGCCGCGUGAGUGAAGAAGGUCUUCGGAUCGUAAAGCUCUGUUGACGGGGACGAACGUGCGAGAGGUGAAUAAUCUCUUGUAAUGACGGUACCUGUCGAGGAAGCCACGGCUAACUACGUGCCAGCAGCCGCGGUAAUACGUAGGUGGCGAGCGUUGUCCGGAAUCAUUGGGCGUAAAGGGAGCGCAGGCGGGCAAGUAAGUCUUUCUUAAAAGUGCGGGGCUCAACCCCGUGAUGGGAAAGAAACUACAUGUCUUGAGUACAGGAGAGGAAAGCGGAAUUCCCAGUGUAGCGGUGAAAUGCGUAGAUAUUGGGAGGAACACCAGUGGCGAAGGCGGCUUUCUGGACUGCAACUGACGCUGAGGCUCGAAAGCCAGGGGAGCGAACGGGAUUAGAUACCCCGGUAGUCCUGGCCGUAAACGAUGGAUACUAGGUGUGGGAGGUAUCGACCCCUACCGUGCCGGAGUUAACGCAAUAAGUAUCCCGCCUGGGGAGUACGGCCGCAAGGCUGAAACUCAAAGGAAUUGACGGGGACCCGCACAAGCGGUGGAGUAUGUGGUUUAAUUCGAAGCAACGCGAAGAACCUUACCAGGCCUGAACAUUGACUGAGAGCGCUAGAGAUAGUGCCCUCUCUUCGGAGACAGGAGGACAGGGUGGUGCAUGGGCUGUCAUCAGCUCGUGUCGUGAGAAGUUCGGGUUAAGUGCGCAAGAGCGCACCCCUGUUCUAGUGCAUAGGUAAGCUGCCUCAGGAACGCGCGAAACCGAGAGCGGAUAGUAGUACAUACCUUU
rnacentral:rRNA from 1 species